AAUAAAUACAGUUUUACAAUAUUUAUGUCUAACGUUUGACCGUUCGUCUUAUUUAAAAAAUUUUCAUGAUUAGUAAUUUUAUUAUUAUUUGAUGAUAAAACAUGAAUAAUGCUUUAUGCGUGACUAUUUUUUUCACAAAUUUUUAAAAUAAAACGGAUGGUCAAAUGUUAGAUACGGAUAUCCAUAGCUGCACUUAUU
rfam:Oryza rufipogon genomic scaffold, chr12